rnacentral:rRNA from 1 species
UACAGAGGUCUCAAGCGUUGUUCGGAUUCAUUGGGCGUAAAGAGCUCGUAGGCGGUCUGUCGCGUCUGCUGUGAAAACUCAGGGCUUAACCCUGAGCUUGCAGUGGGUACGGGCAGACUAGAGUGCGGUAGGGGAGACUGGAAUUCCUGGUGUAGCGGUGAAAUGCGCAGAUAUCAGGAGGAACACCGGUGGCGAAGGCGGGUCUCUGGGCCGUAACUGACGCUGGAGGAGCGAAAGCAUGGGGAGCGAACAGGA